rnacentral:tRNA from 1 species
AGCAGUGUAGCAGAGUGGUCUAAGGUGCUGGAUUAAGGCUUCGGUGCCCUUCGGGUGUGAGUUUGAAUCCCACUGCUGCCA